rnacentral:ncRNA from 2 species
GCCCCAUCACGACCCGGUCGCGUCGGGUUCGGACGAGGCAAGAGGGAACCCGGUGCGAAUCCGGGACUGCCCCGCAGCGGUGAGCGGGAACGACAGCCGUCAGAAGCACUGGAUGCGAUCCGGGAAGCGACGGCCGGUAGGAAUUCCGGCGUGCAGCGCCGGCAACGCCCGCGAGUCCGAAGACCUGCCACCGGUACGUGCGCCGU